rnacentral:rRNA from 1 species
UACGGGGGGGGCAAGCGUUGUUCGGAAUUAUUGGGCGUAAAGGGUGCGUAGGUGGCUUGGUCAGUCGGAUGUGAAAUCCCGGGGCUCAACCCUGGAACUGCAUUCGAUACUGCCGGGCUAGAGUACUGGAGAGGAGAUUGGGAAUUUACGGUGUAGCAGUGAAAUGCGUAGAUAUCGUAAGGAAGACCAGUGGCGAAGGCGGAUCGUCUGGACAGUUACUGACA